AGUGAACGCUGGCGGCAGGCCUAACACAUGCAAGUCGAACGGUAGCACAGAGGAGCUUGCUCCUUGGGUGACGAGUGGCGGACGGGUGAGGAAUACAUCGGAAUCUACCCUGUCGUGGGGGAUAACGUAGGGAAACUUACGCUAAUACCGCAUACGAACUGAGGUUGAAAGCGGCGGACCGCAAGGCGUCGCGCGAUUGGAUGAGCCGAUGUCCGAUUAGCUAGUUGGCGGGGUAAUGGCCCACCAAGGCGACGAUCGGUAGCUGGUCUGAGAGGAUGAUCAGCCACACUGGAACUGAGACACGGUCCAGACUCCUACGGGAGGCAGCAGUGGGGAAUAUUGGACAAUGGGCGCAAGCCUGAUCCAGCCAUGCCGCGUGUGUGAAGAAGGCC
rnacentral:rRNA from 1 species